AGGUCUGUAUGAGCUGUUGGCUGUUGUGCCAGGCUGGCUGGGGCCACGUGUGGACAGCCAGGAAGACCUGACCUUCCUCUGGGAUAUGUUUGGUGAGAAAAGCCUGCAUUCACCGGUAAAGAUCUUCACAAUAUCCUGGGUAGCCUUAUGUUGUGAGGUGGAAGUCUCUACUCUUCUGUGGCUGCUGUGGCCAAGACUUCCAAUACUGUGUUAGCAUCCUCGCCUUGUUCCUGAUGUUAAGCAGGAAGCUUUUCCCUGUUGAGCAUGAUGCUAGCUGUGCACUGGUCAUACGUGGCCUUACAUUUUGAGUAGUGCUAAGUUGCCAGUGGAAACUGCCCAUGGGCCACAUGAGAGACCACGGAUCCUGUAAUGCUGGGAGGCAUAAAGCUGGCACAGAAGUGCUGCAGAGAGGCUGUCACCAGUUAGAGGGAAGGAGCCAGAGAAGCAAGAGGUGUGGCAACAGCCAAGGGUCUUCAAAGGUAGAUGGACGGUGCACUCCCUUCCUGAAUGGGAGACCAGCACAGAGACCUUGGGGGCACGCCUCGCCCAGGCUCCAGCCGGAGGCUCCGCCCCAGGCCAUGGCCUUCCACUUGCUCACGUGACCACGCCACAGGCAUGCAGAGAGGCAGGCUGAGCUCUGCCAGGCCAGCAGGGUCCGUGCCAGGCCUGGUGGACUUCGAGGACAAGGAGCAGGUGAAGGCCUUUCUGGAGAACGUGGUGGAGUGCAAGUACCAGUGCUACUGUGAGAAGGACCCGAAUGGACAGAAAGUUAUCUAAGCUCAAUAGUUCUGAGAAAUGUCUUCAUCUAGGAGCAUUCCCUCUGUUUCUUAGAAGUUUGAAUUUGGGAGAAAGGUUGACAAUCUGGGGGAAAAAAAAGACUAAGCGAAAGGAACAGCAUGCUUAGGAGGGCACACACCACGCCAGUUCCCUUGCUUCUAAUGGUUAUCACGUACCAACCCAAGUGGCUGCCGCCUUAUUAAUCAUCAUAUUCAUGAAAAGCUCUACUACUAUGAGAAGUAGAACCCUGUGCCCAUCCUCCACAGCACAGCAGUCUUGGCUGAUGAUGUAAGUGUGCCUUUCGGAGCUCCCUGC